CAUUGGGUUGCUUCAGUGCCUUUGUAAAAUAACAAACUACUUUAUAUUUAGAUUUAUUUUACUAUUUAUAAAAUGCUUUUGCUUUUGUAUUCUCUUAACACUCUCUCACUAGGGGUAGACAUAUUUUCCCCAUUUUGAGUUGAGGAAACCAAGGGUCGGUGCAUUUCAAGAACUUGACCAAAGAAACACAAAGCCAAGGACUUGAACAUAGAACUACUAUUAUAAAGAAAUUGUUUACAUCUUAAACCUACUUUAUCCAGUGGAAAUAUUAUUAAAUGGACACUUUUUCUGAGGGUGAUGGAGUAACAGAAAUGAGUAAGUACAUGUUUUUAUAUUUCAAUGCUGGUGAUAUUUUCAGACUGACAGCCAGACACAUGCUUCCUCUGUAGGCUUAUACAUGUCUAAAACAAUCUACAUUAUGCAUCUCUUUUUGAAAGGGUAAAAAAUUAUACUUGUUUUGCAAAACUGGGUAAAAAGAAUAGCUUUUAGCCAAGAUUGCUUGGACUUUGUGUAAGACAAAGAAUUUAUUUCACUCACCCUGAUCGAAAAAAUAAAAGUUACUUUUUUCUGACUCAGAGAAAUAAAGCAGUACUUGAAGGUACAUAUCAUGAAGACAGAUAUAAAAACUAGAGGAAAACUCAAUAACUACUCUUGCUCCUUUUUUUUUUUUUUUCUCUCCUACUCUGUUAUACUAAAACUUGGGCACCCAGACUGUCUCCAAAUGUUUUCAGGCAACUUCCAACACUUGCUGAGACAAGGCCAACCUCAAUACUUUAACUUUCCAGGUCACCUAGGCUAGGCACACAAGUAUUGGUCUCCUGAGCCCACCUGAUUUAUCCAACUGUAACACACAAGCGAAGGGCCUUAGUCUUUCUGGCACACUCCUCUAGUAAGAACCAUCUUUUCCCACAUACAACGGGGCAACCUUAUUAAAACCGGUGGUACAUAAUAUACUUUAGGGAUGUCACAACUGAAGCAUCCACAUUCUGUGAAUUACAUUCUAGGGUCACACAACUACUUGACACCAACCUGAGAUCAGAACCAAUGUCUUCUUGACAACGUCAUGAUUCUUCCCCCCAUACUCUAUGUCUUCCUUCACUAUCUGUUAAACCAAGAUGCUAUAAGUCCUAUGUCUAGAUACUCAUGUCGCAACAGAAGAAAGGGUGGGGGAAAAAACUGUAACUGCAAUGUAUACAUCUAAGGAUAACCUGACCCCCUUGCUGUACAGUGGGAAAAAAAAAAAAAAAAAAGAUGCUAUAAGCUAGCCAGUAUUUUGCCUUUGUUCUUUACCAAAACAGAGACCUAAAAAAGUAUGCCAUAAACCCAAGAACAAAAAUAAACAUAUCCCAAUGACUAAUUUUUUAAUACAAGAAGUUUUUUUUUUUUAAUAUAAGGAAGUUAUGUGAUCUGUGUGCAUGUUAAUUACUACUUAGGAACCUCCUAUAGUGACUGUCUUCCUAGCUGGUGAGUGGUACUCGAUUGAUAGUCUUGGAGUAAAAGAUUUUUUUUUCUAAAAAAGAAUAAGAAAAGUUUCUCAGUGUCCCAGUUACUAAUCUAAGAGGAAGACAUUCUGUAGUAAUUUCAAUAUGAUAAAGAUACUCUAACAGUCAAACUAACUGUUCUUUUUUCUUUUUUAGGGCCACACCUUGGCAUAUGGAAGUUCCCAGGCUAGGGGUUGAACUGGAGCUGCAGAUGCUGGCCUACACCACAGCAACGUGGGAUCCGAGCUGCAUCUGUGACCUACACCACAGCUCAUGGCAGCUCACAGCAAUGCCUGAUCCUUAACCCACUGAGCGAGGCCAGGGAUCAAAACUGUAUCCUCAUGGAUACUAGUUGGGUUCGUUAC
ensembl:lncRNA